GGUCAAGCUACAACGGGCUCACGGUGGAUACCUAGGCACAC
rnacentral:rRNA from 1 species